UACGUAGGGUGCGAGCGUUGUCCGGAAUUAUUGGGCGUAAAGAGCUCGUAGGCGGUGUGUCACGUCGUUCGUGAAAACCUGCAGCUUAACUGUGGGCGUGCGGUCGAUACGGGCAUCACUGGAGUCGGCAGGGGAGACUGGAAUUCCUGGGUAUAGCGGUGAAAUGCGCAGAUAUCGGGAGGAACACCGGUGGCGAAGGCGGCUCUCUGGGACGGUACUGGACGCUGAGACGGCGAAAGCGUGGGAGCGAACAGG
rnacentral:rRNA from 1 species